rnacentral:rRNA from 1 species
UGGGGAAUAUUGCACAAUGGGCGCAAGCCUGAUGCAGCCAUGCCACAUGUAUGAAGAAGACCUUCGGAUUGUAAAGUACUUUCAACAAGAAGGAAAGCAUUAAGGUUAAUAACCUUAGUGAUUGACGUUACUCGCAGAAGAAGCACCGGCUAACUCCGUGCCAGCAGCCGCGGUAAUACAAAGAGUGCAAACAUUAAUCGGAAUUACUGGGCAUAAAGCGCACGCAAGCGGUCUGUUAAGUCAGAUGUGAAAUCCCCGGGCUCAACCUGGGAACUGCAUUUGAAACUGGCAGGCUUGAGUCUUGUAGAGGGGGGUAGAAUUCCAGGUGUAGCGGUGAAAUGCGUAGAGAUCUGGAGGAAUACCGGUGGCGAAGGCGGCCCCCUGGACAAAGACUGACGCUCAGGUGCGAAAGCGUGGGGAGCAAACA